UUGUUGUGGUUAAAAAGCUCGUAGUUGGAUCUCAACAGCCUUGNAAGCGGUUAACUUUGUAGUUUUACUGCUUUAUAGGCUGUGCUUUUGCUGGAGGUUUAGGGGUGCUCUUGAUCGAGUGUCUCUGGAUGCCAGCAGGUUUACUUUGAAAAAAUUAGAGUGCUCAAAGCAGGCUAAAAUGCCUGAAUAUUCGUGCAUGGAAUAAUAGAAUAGGAUGUCGAUCCUAUUUUGUUGGUUUUCGGGACUCGACAUAAUGAUAAAUAGGGACAGUCGGGGGCAUUUGUAUUCAAACGACAGAGGUGAAAUUCUUGGACCGUUUGAAGACAAACUACUGCGAAAGCAUUUGCCAAGAAUGUUUUCAUUAAUCAAGAACGAAAGUUAGAGGUUCGAAGGCGAUUAGAUACCGCCCUAGUUCUAACCAUAAACGAUGCCAGCUAGCGAUCUGCCUGCGUUUUUACUGUAGACUGGGCAGGAAGCUUCCGGGAAACCAAAGCAUUUGGGUUCCAGGGGAAGUAUGGUUGCAAAGCUGAAACUUAAAGGAAUUGACGGAAGGGCACCACCAGGAGUGGAGCCUGUGGCUUAAUUUGACUCA
rnacentral:rRNA from 1 species